UCCCAGGUGGCUCAGCGGAAAAGAGUCUGCCUGCGAUGCAGAAGACCCGGGUUCGAUCCCUGGGUUGGGAA
rnacentral:tRNA from 1 species